UGAGGAAUAUUGGGCAAUGCCCGCAAGGGUGACCCAGCAACGCCGCGUGGAGGAUGAAUGUCGUAAGAUUGUAAACUCCUGUUAGAGGGGAAGAAUAGUACCGGUUGGACCGGUAUAUGACUGUACCCUCAGAGAAAGCCCCGGCUAACUACGUGCCAGCAGCCGCGGUAAUACGUAGGGGGCAAGCGUUGUCCGGAUUUACUGGGUGUAAAGGGCGCGCAGGCGGGAUAAAAAGUCAGUGGUGAAAUCCUACAGCUUAACUGUAGAACUGCCUUUGAUACUUUUAUUCUUGAGUUCGGGAGAGAGAGACGGAAUUCCAGGUGUAGUGGUGAAAUACGUGGAUAUCUGGAAGAACACCAGUUGCGAAGGCGGUCUCUUGGUCCGACACUGACGCUGAGGCGCGAAAGCGUGGGGAGCAAACA
rnacentral:rRNA from 1 species